AUUGAACGCUGGCGGCAGGCCUAACACAUGCAAGUCGGGCGAGUGGCGGACGGGUGAGUAAUGUAUGGGGAACUGCCUGAUGGAGGGGGAUAACUACUGGAAACGGUAGCUAAUACCGCAUCCCAUCAGAUGUACCCAUAUGGGAUUAGCUUGUAGGUGGGGUAACGGCUCACCUAGGCGACGAUCCCUAGCUGGUCUGAGAGGAUGAUCAGCCACACUGGAACUGAGAAACGGUCGAGACUCCUACGGGAGGCAGCAGUGGGGAAUAUUGCACAAUGGGCGCAAGCCUGAUACAGCCAUGCCGCGUGUAUGAAGAAGGCCGUCGGGUUGUAAAGUACUUUCAGUCGGGAGGCGUUACCGGCAGAAGAAGCACCGGCUAACUCCGUGCCAGCAGCCGCGGUAAUAC
rnacentral:rRNA from 1 species